AGUGAACGCUGGCGGUAGGCCUAACACAUGCAAGUCGAACGGUAGCACAGUAAGAGCUUGCUCUUACGGGUGGCGAGUGGCGGACGGGUGAGGAAUACGUCGGAAUCUACUUUUUCGUGGGGGAUAACGUAGGGAAACUUACGCUAAUACCGCAUACGACCUACGGGUGAAAGCAGGGGAUCUUCGGACCUUGCGCGAUUGAAUGAGCCGAUGUCGGAUUAGCUAGUUGGCGGGGUAAAGGCCCACCAAGGCGACGAUCCGUAGCUGGUCUGAGAGGAUGAUCAGCCACACUGGAACUGAGACACGGUCCAGACUCCUACGGGAGGCAGCAGUGGGGAAUAUUGGACAAUGGGCGCAAGCCUGAUCCAGCCAUACCGCGUGGGUGAAGAAGGCCUUCGGGUUGUAAAGCCCUUUUGUUGGGAAAGAAAAGCAGCAGGUUAAUACCCCGCUGUUCUGACGGUACCCAAAGAAUAAGCACCGGCUAACUUCGUG
rnacentral:rRNA from 1 species